UUUUAUGAGAGUUUGAUCCUGGCUCAGGACGAACGCUGGCGGCGUGCCUAAUACAUGCAAGUCGAACGCUUCUUUUUCCACCGGAGCUUGCUCCACCGGAAAAAGAGGAGUGGCGAACGGGUGAGUAACACGUGGGUAACCUGCCCAUCAGAAGGGGAUAACACUUGGAAACAGGUGCUAAUACCGUAUAACAAUCGAAACCGCAUAGUUUUGAUUUGAAAGGCGC
rnacentral:rRNA from 1 species